rnacentral:rRNA from 1 species
GACGAACGCUGGCGGCGUGCUUAACACAUGCAAGUCGAACGGAAAGGCCCUGCGUUUGUGGGGUGCUCGAGGGGCGAACGGGGGAGUAACACGUGAGUAACCUGCCCUUGACUUUGGGAUAACUUCGGGAAACUGGGGUUACUACCGGACAGGAGCCCACGCUGCAUGGAGGGGGUUGGAACGUUUCGGCGGUCGGGGCUGGACUCGCGGCUUAUGAGCUUGUUGGUGGGGGAGUGGCAUACCCAGGCUGUGACGGGUCGCCGGCCUGAGAGGGUGGCCGGCCACAUGGCGCCUGAGGUACGGCGCAGACUCGUACGGGAGGCAGCGGUGGGGAGUAUGGCACAGUGGGCCCAAGCCUGAUGCAGCAACGCCGCGUGCGGGAUGACGGUCUUCGGGUUGUAAACCGCUUUCGCCUGUGAUGAAGCGUGUGUGACGGUAACGGGUAAAGAAGCACCGGCUAACUUCGUG